CAGAGGGGGCAAGCGUUAUUCGGAAUUAUUGGGCGUAAAGGGCGCGUAGGCGGCUUUUCAAGUGGCGGGUGAAAUCCCUCGGCUUAACCGAGGAACUGCCUGCCAGACUGGACGGCUUGAGACCGGGAGAGGUGAGUGGAAUUCCCAGUGUAGCGGUGAAAUGCGUAGAUAUUGGGAGGAACACCAGUGGCGAAGGCGGCUCACUGGACCGGAACUGACGCUGAGGCGCGAAAGCGUGGGGAGCAAACAGGAUUAGAUACCCUGGUAGUCCACGCCGUAAACGAUGAGUGCUUGGUGUAGCGGGUAUCGACCCCUGCUGUGCCGACGUCAACACAUUAAGCACUCCGCCUGGGGAGUACGGUCGCAAGACUG
rnacentral:rRNA from 1 species